GCAUAUCAAUAAGCGGAGGAAAAGAAACCAACAGGGAUUGCCCUAGUAACGGCGAGUGAAGCGGCAACAGCUCAAAUUUGAAAUCUGGCUCUCUUUGGGGGUCCGAGUUGUAAUUUGCAGAGGAUGCUUUGGCAUUGGCGGCGGUCUAAGUUCCUUGGAACAGGACAUCGCAGAGGGUGAGAAUCCCGUACGUGGGCGCCUGCCUUUGCCGUGUAAAGCUCCUUCGACGAGUCGAGUUGUUUGGGAAUGCAGCUCUAAAUGGGAGGUAAAUUUCUUCUAAAGCUAAAUACCGGCCAGAGACCGAUAGCGCACAAGUAGAGUGAUCGAAAGAUGAAAAGUACUUUGGAAAGAGAGUCAAAAAGCACGUGAAAUUGUUGAAAGGGAAGCGCUUGCAGCCAGACUUGCCCGCAGUUGCUCACCUAGGCUUUGGCCUGGGGCACUCUUCUGCGGGCAGGCCAGCAUCAGUUUGGGCGGUUGGAUAAAGGCCUCUGUCACGUAUCUCCCUUCGGGGUGACCUUAUAGGGGAGGCGUAAUGCAACCAGCCCGGACUGAGGUCCGCGCAUCUGCUAGGAUGCUGGCGUAAUGGCUGUAAGCGGCCCGUCUUGAAACACGGACCAAGGAGUCUAACAUCUAUGCGAGUGUUUGGGUGUCAAGCCCGGGCGCGCAAUGAAAGUGAACGGAGGUGGGAACCCUUUGGGUGCACCAUCGACCGAUCCUGAUGUCUUCGGAUGGAUUUGAGUAAGAGCAUAGCUGUUGGGACCCGAAAGAUGGUGAACUAUGCUUGAAUAGGGUGAAGCCAGAGGAAACUCUGGUGGAGGCUCGCAGCGGUUCUGACGUGCAAAUCGAUCGUCAAAUUUGGGCAUAGGGGCGAAAGACUAAUCGAACCAUCUAGUAGCUGGU
rnacentral:rRNA from 1 species